AGUGAACGCUGGCGGUAGGCCUAACACAUGCAAGUCGAACGGCAGCACAGUAAGAGCUUGCUCUUACGGGUGGCGAGUGGCGGACGGGUGAGGAAUACAUCGGAAUCUACUUUUUCGUGGGGGAUAACGUAGGGAAACUUACGCUAAUACCGCAUACGAUCUACGUGUGAAAGGAGGGGAUCUUCGGACCUUGUGCGAUUGAAUGAGCCGAUGUCGGAUUAGCUAGUUGGCGGGGUAAAGGCCCACCAAGGCGACGAUCCGUAGCUGGUCUGAGAGGAGGAUCGGCGAUACUAGAACUGAUGCACGGCCCCGCCUCCUACGGGAGGCAGCAGUGGUGAAUAUUGGAGAAUGGGGGCAAGCAUGAUCCAGCCGUGCCGCGUGGUGAGAGAAGGCCUUCGGCUGGUAGAGCCCUUUUUUUGGGAAAGAAAAGCGGCUGGUUAGUACCCCGCUGUUUUGACGGUACCCGAAGAAUAAGCACCGGCUAACUUCGUG
rnacentral:rRNA from 1 species